rnacentral:rRNA from 1 species
AAAUUGAAGAGUUUGAUCAUGGCUCAGAUUGAACGCUGGCGGCAGGCCUAACACAUGCAAGUCGAACGGUAACAGGAAGCAGCUUGCUGCUUCGCUGACGAGUGGCGGACGGGUGAGUAAUGUCUGGGAAACUGCCUGAUGGAGGGGGAUAACUACUGGAAACGGUAGCUAAUACCGCAUAACGUCGCAAGACCAAAGAGGGGGACCUUCGGGCCUCUUGCCAUCGGAUGUGCCCAGAUGGGAUUAGCUAGUAGGUGGGGUAACGGCUCACCUAGGCGACGAUC